UACUGCUUGGCUGGAACAAAAUCCUGCAUCCACACCGGCCCUUUCUGGACAAGACAGAGGACUCCCAUAGCAAAGAUUUGGGUUUGACUGAAAGAUUUCAGCCAUGUGCAGUCAUUGAAUUUCCAAUUACUUGAUGGACCAAUUUUCAGCCCGUCUUCCUUCCCGUGCGGAGGAGUACUUCCUGGUCGUGAGAGAGUCGAAAAUGUGUUCUCACAGCUCCGCACUCCUCCGUGACCCUGCCUGAACCCCUGGGGCCCUCCGCCGUCCACCACGCUGCUCAGUGGUCACGCGGUUGAGCGAUGCGUUCGCGUGGUGUCUCGGAACGGGAGACGGGACUGAGGAAGUUUGAGACGGAGGGAGAAGAGAAGGGAGACGGGCGAAAGAAGUUUAAAGGGCGGGAAAAGAGGAAAGUGAAAGAGAGAAAAAAGCAGAGGAAGAAAUAAAGAGGGACAGAGAAGAGAAAACAGUGUAGAGGUAAUUGUGCAGCCCCACGUGCAGUGUAAAUACAAUAAAAAAAAAAAGACUUAAAAUAUGAUUCGUAACGCAAUGAAGGCCUAAUUUUAAACACAGGGUCUUAUUUCUACUAUUCAGCAAAAACAUUUCAGCAAAGAAUAGCCGUUUGAUUUUUUUGGAAGGGCUGAAUUGUUGUGUUGGCCUGGGGUGUCAGAUAUUUAUUUAAAAAUGAAAUGUGACUGAAGAGAACUGUAGCUCAACCUCUGCAGAACACGCUGCCCACACACUGGUUUAGUGGUCUACCUCCCUGCCCGAGCUGGAAUGUGCAGAGUAGCUGGGUUUGCCAGCAUGAAACUUUUCGCCAAUGGUGCUACACUCUGGAAAUUUUCUCCGGAAGGCUUUUUUUUUUUUUUUUGGUAAGGAACAAAAGAAAAUAGAAAAUGGAGCAAUUAUUUCUCCGGGCAGUGAUUAUAAUUUCACAGUGACAGCCCAAUGUGGCGGUGGCUGAAGGCUUAGAAGGUCACUGGAAGGUCACAGUUUCAUGUGGAUGGGGCAGUACUGUUUAAGCUAUGAACAAACAAACACACUUAAACCUGUUUUAGUAAAUGGAAUGGAAUUGACAACCCAGAUCCAAAAUGACAAUGCAGAUCUUUCACACAUUGUCAUCAAAAGUCAUCAGAAGUUAAAAGCCAGUGCCAAGCAUUACUACUUCUGCCUCUCAUCAGAUGACUGGGUGGAACGGACAUCAACAUCCUCAAAAGGACAAUAAGGGAAUUACGGACUCUGUUCUGUCCAGAAUGCUUUUUCUGCACAGUGCUGUAUGUGAGACUAUGAGAGGAGGAGGGGUGUAGGGUAAUGGUGUAGCUGGAGGGGUGUAGGGUAAUGGUAUAGCUAGAGGGGUGUAGGGUAAUGGUGUAGCUGGAGGGGUGUAGGGUAAUG